AUCAUGCACAAUCUUAACUAGGGCUGUGGUAGUACUAUGCUGUUUCCUAUAGCCUGACUGAUGCUUGUCUAAGAGAGGCGGAUCAGCUACCUGUAAGUGUUCGGUAAUUUGAUGAAGCAGUAUUUUCUCUAAAAUUUUCGAAAUCGCGGGAAGCACACUUAUCGGCCGGAAGUCCUUAGGUUCCAUAGGAUUUGCUGUUUUCGGAAUCGGCGUGACUAUGGCUUUCUUCCAGAGUUCGGGAAACUUGUGCGAGUCGAUGAUGGUAUUGAAAAGAUUUACAAGUAGAGGCAGUAUGAAAGGGCAAAGCAUUUUCACAAACGAUAUGGGGAUAUUGUCCGAACCCGUUGCGUUUGAUGAUAUUUCGAAGAUUCUCUUCGACACGUCUGCUGCAUCCGUGCGCCUGAAUGUGAACCUUCUGUGGGUGGUACUAUUCCAGUUGGUGUUGCUGCCGUUAUCGUGCGGAGGUAAAGUUGGAGCUGAUUGCUGUUUUUGUGAUUGAAGGUGCGCGUGACCCUCGGCGAAAAACUGAUUUAGCUGCUGAACAUCAGUUUGCGUAUCAGCUAUGUUACGUUUGGCGUUGUUGUGAAUACCAUCCCUCUGGAGAUUACUCCACAGUUUCUUGGCAGGUAGCCCGGGAGAAAAGUUUUUGUCCGCAUAUUUCUUCUUUGCAGUCGCAAUUAAUGUCCUCACUCUGUCGCUUUUGGUGCAGUAAUCGUGCCAUUGAAGAUCACCUCUUGUUCUGUUGGGGUUUCUCGAAUAAAGUUGAAAAGCCAGGUCUCUGAGUUUAACUGUUCGCUCGAUUUCGCUUGUGAUCCAUGGAGUACGUUGAUCGCGUAUUAUAACGGUUUGCUCGGGAACAUGAUGGUCAAGAAGCACUCGUAUUUCCUCUGUCACAAGCUCCGCUUUCCUAUCGACAUCAGCGCAUUCCAGUAUUGGCUGCUGGUCUCUAGCCUGGAAAUCUGCUUGUAGUCGAACUAGGUUGACUCUGCGGAAGUUUCUGUAUGUUCUUCUUUGCGGGGGUGGUUUCCUCACUCGUAUGUCAGCGAUUAGAUAAACAACUUCGUGGUCAGAAAUUGAGUUACCUGUUGACGUCGAUGACUUCACAAUUGAGUUGGGAGAGCCUGUGACCAAAAGGUCAAUUGUAGUCGAGGAAGUUUCUGUAAUACGGGUAGGAGGAGUAUUCAGGACAGUAAGGUUGAAGAUUUGGUGAAGCCGUCGUAAAUCAGUAAGGUUGCUAGAAGGUUGUGCUGCAGAAACGUUGACAUUAUAAUCUCCGACAAUGUAGAUCCUGUCGAAGCUGAACUCGAGCAGAUCAAGUAGGAGAUUUUCAUAUCUUUGAAUUAGAAAUUGGUUGUUGCCGGAUGGAUUGUACAGCACUACUACACCAACAUUGAGGUUGUUAAUUUUGGCUCUAAUGGCUAAAAACUCCACGCGUUGCGCAAUCGGAACAGCAGGGUCAAAUGAAGAUUUGAUUAUUGGGGUGAUUUUGAUAUGCUUCGCCACAUACAGUCCGACUCCACCGCAGGCUUUGGCACCCCGUCCUCUUCCGCUUUGAGCUUGGUCUCGCUGAGUCCGAAGAAGUGGUACUGUUUUCGGUCUAAAAUUAGUUUAACUCCGUCGAUGUGUCUUUCGAUUCCGCGGACGUUUAAAUGCCCUAUUCGCAGGUGAUUGCCGUUAGUUGUCAUGAUCACGUUACUUUAUUGUACUAUUUUGUGUUGCAGCUAGUAAUGUCUAAAUUAUCGGUGGACAUAGCGUCGAAAAAAAUCGAAGACUCGUCUGCUGAAUCCUCGCGAGACGUGUUCAGCUGCAGGAGUUGAUUGAGAUCGGUAUUAGCAAGCUUAGCGCCAGAUUCGAUCACCUCGAGCUUUGUUUCUACGGUAUUAACCAAGGCACUUUGCACCUUCUGUCGUUCCCGGAGUUGAUCUGAAGCUUGAAUUCGGUUUCUUAAUUUAUCGAGUUGCUUUUUCGAAGCUACACAGUUCGUAGUUAGCUCGGUUUGGAGUUUUUCCAGCUGUUUCGAGAGCUCGAUAAUAGUUUCGUUGACUUUGGUGAGAUCGGGAUUAACUGGGGUAUUAGAGGGCGACGCUUGUUUCUGAAUAAGAGUUCCGAGUAUGGUACACUUCUCACAGAAGUACCAAUAGUUGACAAUUUCCGGGAGAGGUAUAUUAAUUGCCCGUAUGCAGACGGUGUGAAACCACUUAAAGCAGCUGUCGCAACAAAUCCAGCCAACUGUGAUGUCCUUUUUGCUCUUUCUGCUUAAUUUUUUGGCUGGUUCUCUCAGUCCACAGGCUGUACAGGUGUCUUUUGCCAUGAAUGAUAUUAUCACAAUACAUAUGCUAUUUAGAGUGUAACAUUUUCCACAGCUAUUAUUUACCAACACACUCACAGCUUACGGCUGUGAUCGCGCAAGGAACAAGAGCGAAAAAAAAACAAUGGCCGCCGAAAAACCUCUUUUGCAAUGAAGGUGGAUUCGGUGAAAACCAAACUUUAGGUCUCUAAACGGAUUGCUCAUGCGCGAAAAACAUCACUUGCUAACACAUUCGUCCUUAGACCACCGCGGGCAAAACUUUUUAGACGCUUCCGACCGCGUUUUCCUCCAAAAAAAGGUUAAUUUCCGCGAGCACCCCCGAUGUGCGUUCACGCAGUAAAAGUAAACGAGAUAUACGUGAAAUAGUGAAAAAUCAGAAACUUCUUUCGCACUCAUGUCACUUCUGUGAUAUUCAAGGGCCAAGCAUACUAGUGAUGUGCAAAACGGCUGCAGAAUCACCUCGGUCCGGGCGGAGAUACCUUGCACGGCGAUAGGUCCCUUGGCGAUGAGCCGCUUAAUGUGCUACUAGUGUGGUAUGUGGAACGUGUUUAUCUUUGGUUUCAUCGGUUUCAUCCCUACCAAGGUAAAUUCGGUUGUGUUGCUGUCAGCUUUGCAGCUAACAGAUAACCAUGUGCAGCACAGAACUACAUCAAGGAGAUAUUAAGCUGGUAACAAGAACAGUGUCGACAGAUGCUCCUUAUUCUGGACGGUGAAGGUUUCCAUCGAUCGAGAGGAUCUACGAGCACGUCAGGUUUUGGCGGCGCAUAUCAGCAAGCUUGUACCGUGGAUGCAAUAUUCCAAUAUUGGAAAAACAAACUCAUUGAGAAGGAAUCGUCGCCAGUUCAAUGACCUUAUUUUGACCAUCAGUCUCAACAUAUUUUCGAUUCCAACAUAUUUUCGGAGAAGCUCGAAGCAGAUUGUGAUAUGCAUUCCAAAGAAAACCAGACACAGGAGAACGUUGAGAUUCGAUGGAAUAUGGGAACAAGAAAACAAUUGUCUAUUCGAUGUUGACAUGAAGGUUGAUGUUGAGAUUUACAAGCGAACUGCAAAAAUCAUUGGUGUGCAAUGAAAGUUCCCAAUAUUUACGGACAAGACAAGAUAUUUAUUUUCAAUUGAAAUACAAACAUCAGUCACAGGUCGAGUGCGCCUUACGCUAUGCGGUGGAUUUUAUCUAAGAAGAUCUACUCGUGGAUAUUGGGAUACGGCAAUCAAAAUGAUUCCAAUGAUGUUACACUCCGUAUCAGCAAUUUGCCAAUGUGCUUCAGUGCUCCGAGCUUGCCUGAUUUGAUUCGUUCCCAGAUGUUGGUCGUUAAAUACAAUAGCUGAUUCAAAAACUGCCCGUAGCAGGUAAAACUGUUAAACGUCUAUCAGCUGGUAAAUUCAAAUGGCGAAUCGAUUCUAGUAUGUGCACGAAAUAACACUGCUGUUGAUUAGUUAACAGAAACAAAUUAUCGUACCAACUUGGAAGUGUGUUGCUAAGGUUUGCGAAGUUUUGACUCUCCAAUUAUUUUUUGGCUCUGCACAUUCAAUUUCCUAACACGGACUUGAAGAAAUCACAACCUGCGAGUUCUGUUCGUCAAAAAAAAUCUCUAAGGCAUGAGGAAAGAAGCGAAUCGGGAGUUGUUGGAAGCACAUGCACUUGCGUCAGUGCUGGUGAUCCCAGAUUUGAGUGUACGGUCCCGGUUGUACUUGCAACCAACAAUCGGGCUUGGACUAAUUACAAUGUGUGAUAAGAUCAACGGAUCAACAUGCUCUAAUGUUUACGAGUUCGAGAGAAGUUUUCGUCCACACAGAGCACCGCCGAGAGCAUCAAACGUGAGGAGGAAUGGAAAGAAACCACUUAGUUCACCAGCAAGAUAUUCGAUACAUACUGAUUUAUUGCCUGCAUGCAACGUUUAGCAAAAACAUACCGGUUUGGUUCAGAUCAUCGGUUCCUCCGCCGGAUCACUGGGAGCACUCAUGUUUUCGGAAGGGCAAGUACAAGGCAACACGAUUAUGUUUGCCAACAUGCUUAUGCUGCCUUGGAUCGGAAUACGCUGGACCCUUUUUAGUCCAUCCAGGUCCUGCUUCAUCGGUUCUGAUUUUGACACGCUUGGUUGCUCAUCAAUACAGCGAUGAACUGAUAACAAAUAUAGAACUGUCCAUAAUCGAUGACAGCAAACCCAAAGGAAAGACAAUAACCUUUGGAAAAUAUCAUCCUGUAGGUACUAAUGGCUGCUGGCUCCCUGUUCGUGCUGAGAAACGAGAAUAACUGCUUUUUCGUCGAUUGAAUUUUGAUAGCUGAGAUUUAUUAGUGCGAUGCAAAGUAUCUCUGCCUGGUCUCGAAGAUUCCUUAGAUAAUCCACGGGCACACCCGUAUACCGACAAUUUCAUCUGUGACAGCGUAUGUCUGCUGAAGGAGUACGAGUACGAAUAGAAAAGCGGUACCGGAGACGCUUGGAUUCUGUACGAUACUUCGUCGGACAAGGAAGUUAAUUUGAACUUUAAUAUACUAAAGCAGAAAUGGCUGCACAAUUCGUGAAUCAGUUAGGUGGAGUUUAUCACCAAUUUCGUACCAAAUACAUAGUAUUUGCUCGCACUAUCCAAAGAGUAUGAAGGUAAUCGUUGGCUGUACAAAUUAAAGUGCUGCCAGACAGUAGUAUCCGGAGGUUAGGAGAAAUCCGCUGAUCAGGAAAAUGUUUUUAAUACGCACGGGAACUUGGAACAUGGAAAAGACAAUUCGUUUCUCGAAGGCUGGCUUCCAGCUGGAACAAUUCGGAAGGUCAGCAGGCCUGUGGUUCAGUAUCAAGGAUCACUGGCUAUUACAUAAUUACCGCCGACAAUCCAAUAGUUCUUUCCAAACAGCAGCUGCGAAGUCAUCGGUUGAAUGUAUGCCACCAAGUAACCUGCAUCACCUUCCCUGGAUAUUUGUUCGGCAAUGCAGGUCCCGUCGGUAGCAUGAUAAACAGGCAGAGAAUCCCACCAUUGGACAUGUUCACUCGUCCUUACGACCCGGAGCGUGUCCAGGCAGCAAUUGUGCCUGUCACAGUCGGUGCUCAUGAACAUUUAUCUCUGUUGGUUUUCCAGCACCUACUCAGGCGAUGCAGAUAGCUAAACAGUCAGCCUAAUCAAAUCGUAGUUGUAAUAGGCAUCAAACCGGAGUAAUAAUUAAUCAGUCUGCUAAGUCGAUCAAGUGCCACGAGUAAUGUUCCAACCGGGUUUUAGUCUCCUGUAGCAGCCUUGGUAACUGCUUUCCGUAAUCAGAAACAACACCGAAUUGUGUCCAACUGUAGCACAAAGUUAAUAAAUAAUUGGAAAAAUUUAA